AGCUCGAUGAUUGCAUCCUUUUUUUGAAGGAAUAUACGCUAUUCUGAGUUUUAAAUGCUGAUUUUAAAGAUUAUGAGAGCU